rnacentral:hammerhead_ribozyme from 1 species
AUUCGGCUGGGGAGUCCCAAACAGGACAAAACGAGCUUCCUGGAU